UCCCGGUGGCCGCGGGAGAUGGGCAGUGUCUGGAGGAGAGGAGAGGAGGCCAUUUGAAUUAAGACUCUCCUUUUAAAAAUGGGUUAAAGAACAAAGUGAGUGAAAACCUAAGCGCCCCCCCUCCCCCUGGAGGAAGCUCUAGUUCCGGGGCUGCGCGGGCCCCGUUUUUCCGGGGGUUAGCGCACGGGAGUUGGUCGCCCACCGCGUCCGCUGUUGAGGUCGGGCGGCCGCAUCCCGGGGCACCUGGGCCUCUUCGCGGCUCCUGGACUCCACGGCGCAGGUUUUUUCUCGAGCUCGGCUCGGCAAUCCCGGGCCCCUGACCUCUGCAGCCGCGCCGCCCACCGCUUCCUCCCCCGAGGGCGUAAACCCGAAUCCACUCCGGCCUCGGGCCUCGGCCUGCGCCAUGGCCCGCGGACCGCCCGGCUCUGACGAUUCUGGGCUGGGGAGAGGCGGGCUGAGCUCCCCUCCUGACGCGAUUCCGCACGCAUCUGUUUCGGGACCCUGGCCGUGUCCCGGCCUUAACCUCUUCAGCGUUACAACGGGGAUAAUAAUGCUUGCCGGCUCGCCCGCCAGGUGGUGGCUGGAUAAUAUAUUCCGGUGGAGGAGUGAGGAGGGUUGGCAGAGACUGUCAACUGUUACGCUGGGUGGCCGUUCACAGCCCUCCCAGAUUGGAGGGUGGAGGGCGGGGGUAGUUCGACCCCGGCCUGCGACCUCCCGGAAGAAAGGGGCUCGUGGUUGUUUAGGUUGCGCAGAGCCCGCCACGCUUCCGGCGGGGGCACGUGGCGCUUUUGGGGACCUUCGCCUCACUGUCCCAAGCUCGGCCUGGGGCGGAGCAGCCUUCUCGGCACCCUGUACUCGGUUCUGCGCGGACCCCACCGUCUCGCCGCGGGCAGCAGCCGUAGGAGACUGCGGAACUUCUUGCCAGAUCUGGAGCUGAGCGUCCCCGACUGAACCCAGGCAGAAAGGGAAGCCCUGUAGGUUGUCCUGAUCUGCGGACGCAGUUGAGGCGACCCUGAGUCUCGCAGGAAAACCAGUCCCGGAGAAGACAUUGGCCUCUGAUGGUCAGACCUCCGCGGAGAGUCUCAAAGGAAGAAGUCCCACCAACUCUUCACAAAACUAUAAAACCAUCUAGAAAAGGAAGCGUCCACAUGGAUUGAGGGAAACAGUUGAGAAUUAAAAGAUCAGAACAGGACCCAAGACGUUGGCUACGAGGAAGGCGGAUGCUUGUGAGACACGUUUUUAAAGAAGCAAGAAGACUUGCUGGACAAAGCAGAACUCCCGACAUAAUGAAAGACAGUAGAAGAAUCCAGGACUUCUCUCCCUUCCUGUCUUCCUAUCGCUCCUGUGAUAGGAGUGAAACCACCAAUGCGAACCUUGGACCAGGCUUUUCAGCAUGAUGUCCUCAAGGUCCAGCCACAUUGUCAUGAAUGUCCAGUGAUAUCAAAGGAUUACAGCCUGAUUUGCCACGAAACUUCUCAACAAGUCUGAUCAUACAAAUAUUCUUGGAGAUUAUUUUAGGAAGCCUAUAUGCUAGUACUUUUGACUGCAGGAAGGGAAACAAAGUUUCUCCGAAGUGGUCAUCUCCAGGAAGCAAGACUUACCGCCCAUAGCUAAAGAAGACCAGUUUCUGGAGAAACAAGGUUCACAGGUAGAUACCGAAAAUUGAGGCUGCUGGAAGUCUGAUUACCAGAUGCCUCGUGAAGUGAUGGGUUCCUGUAUUGGAGAUGUUCCUACAAAGGCCAGAGCUCCAGGUAGCACAAGCAUCAUAUGGGAGACUCACAAGCUGGGCUGCAAAUUAGGGCAGAAGGAUCUUCAAGAUGGAGCACAGAAUGGACCAGAGUGGGAUACACAGGUGCACAGCACAUAUAGAAGACCCAAAGGUGGGACAAUCGAAGAAUGCAAAGAAACAUGAUGCUACUGAACAAUACUUCAAUUCCAGGAGCAUGAACUGGAAACCUCCUAGGAAUCAGGCAGUCCUACAUAGUCCCUGACUUUAAGAACACAGACAGAAAUGUAAGCAAAUAAAUUAUAAUUCAGUAUCAUAAGAACAAUAGUGGAAGCAUACUCAAAAUAAAGAGACAGCCCAGGGGGAAGAGAUCUGGAAUCUUCACGUGGGAUGGGAGAAGGUUAUCAAGGAAGCCUUCCCAGAAGAGGUGCUGUUAGAGCUGAACAGGGGUUUCUCAAGAUGGAUCAGACUUGGAAAUAGACAAGCAAAGUAAGGAAGGUCAUUCCAGGCAGAGGGAACAGCAUGAAUGAAGCCAUCAAGCAGUGUGGUACCUAUGGGGAUCUAUAAGUUCAGUAUUGCUGUUCCACAAAAUGCAAGAUAAUUGGUUCCUUUUGGGAAAAUAACAAUAACGAUAGCCUAUACACAGGGUGCUUUCCACGUGCCAGGCAGCGUUCUAAGUCUUUAUACGUUAGCACGUUCAAUCUUCCCAGCAAUCCUGGAACAUAGGCACUAUUAUUGUUCCUAUUUUGUAGAUGGAAAAACUGAGGCACAGAGAGAUUACUAUAUAAGAUGAUAAUACUGCGCAGGUUCUAAGGAAA